UACGUAGGUGGCGAGCGUUGUCCGGAUUUACUGGGUGUAAAGGGCGUGUAGGCGGGACUGCAAGUCAGAUGUGAAAUACCGGGGCUUAACUCCGGGGCUGCAUUUGAAACUGUAGUUCUUGAGUGCCGGAGAGGAAAGCGGAAUUCCUAGUGUAGCGGUGAAAUGCGUAGAGAUCGGUAGGAACACCAGUGGCGAAGGCGGCUCUCUGGUCUGCAACUGACGCUGAGGCUCGAAAGCAUGGGUAGCGAACAGG
rnacentral:rRNA from 1 species